CAAUAUCAUCACAGAGGAACUGUAUUGAUUUCCUUUGACAGAUUUCCUUAUCCAUCUAUCCCGCCAACAUCCAGGCACGUUCAGGGUACUGGGAGAGGCAACAGGGAUGGAGGUCCCAUGUCAGGGGACUUCACAGUGUGACGGGAAUGUUCAACCUGCACCUGUUCCUUGCACCAUACUCCAUCCAGCUCUCCGCUCUUCCAGUCAUUUAUGCUCCUGUCUUCCGUGGAGGAAGUCUGGUAGUAUCUCCCCGGGACACUGGCUCAAAUUUCCAGCCACCUGCCCAAGACAGAUGGGACCAGGGGCCAGAUGAUGUGGACAAUGAUGAUGUCACAAAGAGAAGUAAGAAAUAAAGGAGGCAACUUAGU
ensembl:lncRNA LINC01255 long intergenic non-protein coding RNA 1255